GUCGGUUGGUCGGAAUUGCUGGUCCCGGAUCCUGAACAGCCCCCCCAGCCCCCCUGGAUCGGCCUUCGGCCAGCCGACGCUUCUUCAUAGAGCACCCCAAGCGAGCCCGCGCAGUUUCCCCCCACUGCGCGGGUU
rnacentral:sRNA from 1 species